UUAAACCGAUGUGUUUUUAAUCUAGAUCUAAAAGUGUCUUCUGUUGAAACACAUCUGAUCUCUUCUGAAAGCUGAUUCCAGCUACAGGUUUAAAACUGCCCACUGUUGAAACACAUCUGAUCUCAUUUGAAAGCUGAUUCCAGCUACAGAUCUAAAAGUGUCUUCUGUUGAAACACAUCUGAUCUCUUCUGAAAGCUGAUUCCAGCUACAGGUUUAAAAGUGCCCACUGUUGAAACACAUCUGAACUCAUCUGAAAGCUGAUUCCAGCUACAGAUCUAAAAGUGCCUACUGUUGAAACACAUCUGAUCUCAUCUGAAAGCUGAUUCCAGCUACAGAUUUAAAAGUGCCUACUGUUGAAACACAUCUGA